GUAUCAGAAGUGCGAAUGCUGACGUGAGUAACGACAAAACGGGUGAAAAACCCGUUCGCCGAAAGACCAAGGGUUCCAGUCCAACGUUAAUCGGGGCUGGGUGAGUCGACCCCUAAGGCGAGGCCGAAAGGCGUAGUCGAUGGGAAAAUGGUUAAUAUUCCAUUACUUCUGUGUAAUGCGAUGAGAGGACGGAGAAGGCUAAAUCAGCCUGGCGUUGGUUGUCCAGGUGAAAGGAUGUAGGCAUGUAUCUUAGGCAAAUCCGGGGUACUCUAUGCUGAGAUCUGAUAGCAAGCUGUACUUGUACAGCGAAGUGGUUGAUGCCAUGCUUCCAGGAAAAGUCUCUAAGCUUCAGUUACACAGGAAUCGUACCCGAAACCGACACAGGUGGUCAGGUCGAGUAGACCAAGGCGCUUGAGAGAACUCUGCUGAAGGAACUAGGCAAAAUGGUACCGUAACUUCGGGAGAAGGUACGCUGUUGUUGGUGAUGGAACUCGCUUCCUGAGCUGACGACAGCCGCAGAAACCAGGCCGCUGCAACUGUUUAUUAAAAACAUAGCACUCUGCAAACACGAAAGUGGACGUAUAGGGUGUGAUGCCUGCCCGGUGCUGGAAGGUUAAUUGAUGGGGUUAGCGUAAGCGAAGCUCUUGAUCGAAGCCCCAGUAAACGGCGGCCGUAACUAUAACGGUCCUAAGGUAGCGAAAUUCCUUGUCGGGUAAGUUCCGACCUGCACGAAUGGCAUAAUGAUGGCGGCGCUGUCUCCAGCAGAGGCUCAGUGAAAUCGAAAUCGCUGUGAAGAUGCAGUGUACCCGCGGCUAGACGGAAAGACCCCGUGAACCUUUACUGCAGCUUGACACUGAACUUUGACCUUACUUGUGUAGGAUAGGUGGGAGGCUUUGAAGCUGGAACGCUAGUUCCAGUGGAGCCGUCCUUGAAAUACCACCCUGGUAAUGUUGAGGUUCUAACUCUGUCCCGUGAUCCGGGACGAGGACCGUGUCUGGUGGGUAGUUUGACUGGGGCGGUCUCCUCCUAAAGAGUAACGGAGGAGUACGAAGGUGCGCUCAGCGUGGUCGGAAAUCACGCGUAGAGUAUAAAGGCAAAAGCGCGCUUAACUGCGAGACCCACAAGUCGAGCAGGUACGAAAGUAGGUCUUAGUGAUCCGGUGGUUCUGUAUGGAAGGGCCAUCGCUCAACGGAUAAAAGGUACUCUGGGGAUAACAGGCUGAUACCGCCCAAGAGUUCAUAUCGACGGCGGUGUUUGGCACCUCGAUGUCGGCUCAUCUCAUCCUGGGGCUGAAGCAGGUCCCAAGGGUAUGGCUGUUCGCCAUUUAAAGAGGUACGCGAGCUGGGUUUAGAACGUCGUGAGACAGUUCGGUCCCUAUCUACCGUGGGCGCUGGAAAUUUGAGAGGAUCUGCUCCUAGUACGAGAGGACCAGAGUGGACGAACCUCUGGUGUACCGGUUGUGACGCCAGUCGCAUCGCCGGGUAGCUAUGUUCGGAAGGGAUAACCGCUGAAAGCAUCUAAGCGGGAAGCCUACCUCAAGAUAAGAUUUCCCUAGGACUUUAUGUCCUCUAAAGAGCCGUUCGAGACUAGGACGUUGAUAGGUUGGAUGUGGAAGCAUAGUGAUAUGUGAAGCUGACCAAUACUAAUUGCUCGUGAGGCUUGACUA
rnacentral:rRNA from 1 species